UACCAGACUCCUACGGGAGGCAGCAGUGAGGAAUAUUGGUCAAUGGCCGGAAGGCUGAACCAGCCAAGCCGCGUGAAGGACGAAGGUGCCAAGCAUUGUAAACUUCUUUUGUCAAGGGACAAAAUCAGGCUCGAGAGCCUGACCGAGGGUGCUUGAAGAAAAAGCAUCGGCUAACUCCGUGCCAGCAGCCGCGGUAAUACGGAGGAUGCGAGCGUUAUCCGGAUUUAUUGGGUUUAAAGGGUGCGUAGGCGGAUUUUUAAGUCAGGGGUAAAAUGUCGGGGCUCAACCCGGGCCGGCCGUUGAAACUGGGGAUCUUGAGUGGGCGAGAAGAAGGCGGAAUGCGUGGUGUAGCGGUGAAAUGCAUAGAUAUCACGCAGAACCCCGAUUGCGAAGGCAGCCUUCCGGCGCCCUACUGACGCUGAGGCACGAAAGUGCGGGGAUCGAACAGGAUUAGAUACCCUAGUA
rnacentral:rRNA from 1 species